AGUCUUAUAGUUUAAUAAAAUAUUAAAUUGCAAAUUUAAAGAUAGAAAACAUAUUCUUAAGACUU
rnacentral:tRNA from 1 species